rnacentral:tRNA from 1 species
GGGGAUAUAGCUCAGUUGGUAGAGUGCUUGCGUCUCUUGUACAGAGCCCUGGGUUCAAUCCCCAGCACCACAA